AGAAACAGUGGUCGAUGAGAUGAAUACAGUUGGCGAGAGAAGGUUUGAGGAUCCUACUAUGGUUGGGCUUUACCAGAGGGUACAUACAAAUAAUGGAUCCUAUAAUUAGUCAUUGGAGCAAAGCAGAGUUCUUCAUUGCACUUUCUAAAGCUUUCAACUUGAUUCACUGAAACGACCUAACAAUCCUCCGCCAGUGAGAUAACAAACUGAUAAGAAAUUCCCACGAUUAGUAUGCAUUUUUAUGUUAAGGAAGCAAGACGAUAUCCUAUAUCCUCAUGUACAACCAAAUCGGAGACAGUUCGACGAAUCAAAUGUAGCAAUCUACACAGCCAAAGGGCAUUUCUUAGUUCAUUGGAUGAACGUAGCUCACCUCCAAUUCUCUUACAGUCACAUUGCCUCGGCUAAAUGUUGUUGCGGCACUGAGAAUUCAGGAUAGAGCAUGAACGAUGAAUUGGAGAAGAAGAACAGAGCUUCGAAGGGGAAUAGUGGCGGACGGAGUGGAAGAACAUGGGCGGAGGAACGGGGAUGGCUGGACCGAGGAACGGCGCCGGCUGAAAUCACCGACAGCCGCCGCGAAAUUUAAUUUGAAACGGAGGGGACGGAGUUUUGAAAAAAGAUAGAUGAGAAGACUCUUU
rnacentral:lncRNA from 1 species